GUUCUGGUAGCCCAGAUAUUUAAGGCGUCGGUUUUGUAAACCGAAGACCGAGGGUGAAAACCCCUCCCAGAACA
rnacentral:tRNA from 1 species